GUAGGUGGCAAGCGUUGUCCGGAAUUAUUGGGCGUAAAGCGCGCGCAGGCGGUCCUUUAAGUCUGAUGUGAAAGCCCACGGCUCAACCGUGGAGGGUCAUUGGAAACUGGGGGACUUGAGUACAGAAGAGGAAAGCGGAAUUCCAAGUGUAGCGGUGAAAUGCGUAGAGAUUUGGAGGAACACCAGUGGCGAAGGCGGCUUUCUGGUCCGUAACUGACGCUGAGGCGCGAAAGCGUGGGGAGCAAACAGGAUUAGAUACCCUGGUAGUCCACGCCGUAAACGAUGAGUGCUAAGUGUUAGGGGGUUUCCGCCCCUUAGUGCUGCAGCUAACGCAUUAAGCACUCCGCCUGGGGAGUACGGCCGCAAGGCUG
rnacentral:rRNA from 1 species